CAAGUUGAGAAACUACUCAUCUUCGCAUGGCAUAGUCCAAGCCCUGAAGACUGCGCCCAUCCUUAUGCUCCAGGGAACCUGGAGGGCAGUAUCCAGCUGGGGAUCUCCAAGUUGGCCACCCAGGAAAGAACCCCCAGAGAGCCCAGAUGAGGCAGCGGAGUUGGAAGGCCAUCAAGAUCAUCCAGCAGCUGCAGUUGCUGCAAGUGACUGCCAAUAAUUUCUGUUUUCAACCGGACAAAGAAUUUCAGUCCUGGUUCCAAACCAUGAAGCGACUGGACCGGUACAAUUGCCACAGCUUCUCCUGGGAGCUGAAGCCACCAUUUGAAUAGGCCAACAAUAACAUCAAGGCCAAGGAGACCUGUCCUGGGACUGUGUCCACCUGUGAGCUACCUUCAUUUACUCUCCCCUGCCACUCCCUUACACCCCCUGGAAACAUGUUCAUUUACUCCGCCCUUCCACUCCCUUCUCCUGUUAUCUAUACUCCGUAUUCCUUGCUCCUCAUUUCUGGC